rnacentral:rRNA from 1 species
CAGUUCGGAUCGCAGGCUGCAACUCGCCUGCGUGAAGUCGGAAUUGCUAGUAAUCGCGGAUCAGCAUGCCGCGGUGAAUACGUUCCCGGGCCUUGUACACACCGCCCGUCACACCAUGGGAGCCGGUAAUACCCGAAGUCAGUAGUCCAACCUCGUGAGGACGCUGCCGAAGGUAGGAUUGGCGACCGGGGUGAAGUCGUAACAAGGUAAC